ACUCCUACGGGAGGCAGCAGUGGGGAAUAUUGCACAAUGGGCGCAAGCCUGAUGCAGCCAUGCCGCGUGUAUGAAGAAGGCCUUCGGGUUGUAAAGUACUUUCAGCAGUGAGGAAGGUGGAUAUGUUAAUAGCAUACUCAUUUGACGUUAGCUGCAGAAGAAGCACCGGCUAACUCCGUGCCAGCAGCCGCGGUAAUACGGAGGGUGCGAGCGUUAAUCGGAAUUACUGGGCGUAAAGCGCAUGCAGGUGGUUUGUUAAGUCAGAUGUGAAAGCCCGGGGCUCAACCUCGGAAUUGCAUUUGAAACUGGCAAACUAGAGUACUGUAGAGGGGGGUAGAAUUUCAGGUGUAGCGGUGAAAUGCGUAGAGAUCUGAAGGAAUACCGGUGGCGAAGGCGGCCCCCUGGACAGAUACUGACACUCAGAUGCGAAAGCGUGGGGAGCAAACAGGAUUAGAUACCCUGGUAGGCUCU
rnacentral:rRNA from 1 species